AGGCUUGAACAGGUGCUGCAUGGCUGUCGUCAGCUCGUGUCGUGAGAUGUUCGGUUAAGUCCGCUAACGAGCGCAACCCUCGCUGUGUGUUACAAGUGUCACACGGAACUGCCGGUCAUAAACCGGAGGAAGGUGGGGAUGACGUCAAGUCAGCAUGGCCUUUAUAUCCUGGGCUACACACACGCUACAAUGGGAAGGGACAAUAGGUUGCGAAGCCGCGAGGCGGAGCCAAUCCAGCAAAACUUCCCUCAGUUCAGAUUGCAGGCUGCAACUCGCCUGCAUGAAGUUGGAGUUGCUAGUAAACGCAGGUCAGCCAUACUGCGUUGAAUACGUUCCCGGGGCUU
rnacentral:rRNA from 1 species